GACCCCGUCUCUCGCCCCGCCGUGUCCGUGGUCUCCUGCGAGUGCGGGCGAGCGAGCCUCAGGUGUGAGGUGGAGAGGGGGGACAACGUGUCCUUCCGGUGGGCUGUCCCGGGGGGGUCCGCGAACGCCAGUCUCGGGGCGGGCGCCCUGCUCUCCGUGGAGGUCGGCGACCGGCGGGAGCUGGUCUGCGUGGCCAGCAACGGGGUCAGCGCGGAGACCAGCGACCCCCUCAAACCCGACUGUCCCGAUGCCGUAACACCAUAUCGGGUAUCUGAAACAGAGGCAACUGAAGGUUACAAAAAUUAUGCAAGACUUAAAUUAUGCAUCGAGUUAUUGCUCGGUGCCUGUGGAGUUUCUCUUGCCAUCCUGUUUGCCAUCUUGUGCAUCGCCAGCAGGGACAGGGAGGGACCCAACACAGAGCGUGGCCCAUCUCCGGAGGAAACUGACGUGGUUUAUUCUCGGGUCCGCAUUACGAACAGAGACAAAUAAGGUACCCCUGGAGAAGGAUGUGGUUCAGCCUAAACUCUGUCCACAAUAAUCAUGCUCUCCACUUUCCGUUAGGAUUUGCACGUGUUACAAAGACCUCUUUCAAGCCCCGUUCUGCAUUGUGCUUUACUUACAUUUUUUAUCCAGUUAUCAACAUCACUUGUUUGUCAGACAUGUGGAAAUUUACAAAAAUGUGCCUUUAUUGCAUCCACUUCUCAAAGUCAAGGUCAAAGUACAUUGUGGGUAGUCUGAAGAUGUCAAGGAUACUUAGUACGUUUACAGUGAAUGGACUUCCAUAGGAUUGUGCAAGUCUUUUUUUUUUUUACUAGACUACUGUACCUGAUCAGUGCUAGAAUGUGUUAAUCCAGUGCCUUGGGAGUUUCAUGAAUAUUUUUUCAACUUGACAUGUAGCAGAAAGUCUGGAUUCACUCAACAAUUGUUCACAACCUUGACUUAUAAAUAAAUGUAUAUAAAUAAAAUAGGUUUUUUACAGUGUAAACAUACCGUUUUCCUUCAUUUUGUAAUUAUUGAACUCAACAUAUUGUUGUUAUUAAAAAUAAAUAAGAUCCAUGCAUUGAAAUGUGA